AAAAAACUGUAGGUAGAACUUCAGGGUCACUGUGGGCAACAACUUCUUGUCCAAUGCUCAUCAGUAAAGUAAACCACCCCAUGACACACAUAUGGUCCUCUUCCAAUGCCACAGCAGUCACUGAGUGAACAGGUGGAAGAUAACCUUUUACAAAUUGAACUCUUGAACAAAAAAAUACAUGUUCUACCCCCUAACUUUCCAAACCCAGUGCUGACCUAAAAAUUGGCAUAUUUGAGCUCUUCUACUGAGCUGGUAAAUAAGUGGUCAAAGAUUUCUCACUUGAAAAAAAACCACCACCACACACACAAAAAUCCUCCUUUCCUUUUCAAUUUACUGGGAAUGUUUUGAUGAUAAACUCAAAAUAAAAACUCUAAACUUCUCAGAAACAGGUGAGAUACCAAGACUACUGAGUAGGGAUAUACACCAGAUGUGGCCUCAGGGCCAAGUCACUAAGACCUUCUUUGUAACUUACAAUUUAUUUGGCUUUUGGAAACCUACUGAUGGAAAGACACACACUGCCAGUCUGCUUCAAGUGGUAUGUCAAUACCACAGCAGGACGUCUGAUGGCAAAUUUUAUAGAAUAGCAGAAAGGAAAAAAAAAUGCCUCUUACACUGAUUCCACAAUAAAUUGUCAUGGGGAAAAACAAGUGCAAAACUCACACUGCAGAUCCAUGAAAGAAACAACAACAAUUCACUGUACCUGAGCUCUGCCCAUAGCGUGUGUGGAUGCCUGACAACCACACUAAGAGCCCUACCUUGCUGACUGGGCCCCCUUGUCAUCGUCAGAGCUCAUUUCCACAUCCACGGUAUCUUCUGCAGCAGGAGAAGCGGUCUGGUCUUCCUUCUUAUUGUCCUGUUUGCAUUUCUUUCUCCUUCGUUUUUUCUUUUUCACAGAACUUGAAGUGAAAACUGUUUCCGUUUCCAACAUGUGGGAGAUGUCUGAACUCUGAGAUGGUCUUUCAUUUCCACCAGAUUUCAUCAAAGGAGUAUCGAUAUCUUUAAAGAACUGAUCUUCAGUAGGAAUUGGUGAGGUGGCAAGGUAGGCAGGAAGCUUUUCCUUAAAGAGAACAUGGAGAAAGAAAAGUUGUCCCUGACAAAGUGGACAGUGAAUCAAAACAAUAAUGAACUCUUUGCAUAUCUAAAUUCACAGUGGUAGGAAGAAUACAUAGUCCUUAAAGGUAAGAAUGUCACACUGAACUAUGUUACUGCCCACUCUAUUCUGAAUAGGUCUUUACCCUGGUACACACAGAUAAUUCAACUGGUCCAUGUAACUGAAUAUAUUUGAAGGAACCAAUAUACCAAAUCAGCACACACACACACCAAAACUGUAAUUAAAGCACAGCCAGUUAAGUGUUCUAUAAAGGGAAGUUCAAAGCAGCAACAGCAGCAUUCCAAGGAGGCAAUACGAAGCACUCUGUCAAAAACUUACAAAGAACAGUAACAGGAUAAAGCGGAAGGCAGGGAUCAGGAACACCCCAUCAGACAGGGGGCAGUAGGACAGGUAAGUGAAGUGAGGAUCUCCGGUAAAUUGUGUUUGCUAAAUUAAAUGAGGGUGAAAAGGUGAUUAAAAUACACAAUACCCUGUUACAAAUGAAGUUGGCAGAUUUUAAAACUGUAACGUUAUUUAAAACAUCCUUUCAGGAAUUCAAAAGAAGAAAAUAAGGCCCAACAGUUAGAAAUAAACUCGUAAUUUAAUAUCAAAUAAAUGACCAAAGUCUGGUGUUCAGAAGAUUAACUUCGUAGUUACUGGCUUCACCCCUUUGUAUCAUGGGGGAAAUGGAAGGUAGGUAACAUAUAAAUUAACUUCAAGUAACUUAGAAUACUCAAGUUUUUACAUAAUAGUCCUGAAAAUGAGUGAAUUUCCGUAAUUGUUCUAAAUCAAGCUUUUGAAUUUGGCUUUGAUAGACAUAUUACCCCGGAGCCAAAAUUCUGUUUAUCCAGCACUGUGAUGACAGGAUACUAUUCCACAUGUCCCCAGGGCACCCAAGUUACAGGCUGUGGUCUCUGACUUCCAGGGCCUUUUAUUUUUUUUUUUUAUUAUUAUUUUUUUUUUCAACGUUUUUUAUUUAUUUUUGGGACAGAGAGAGACAGAGCAUGAACGGGGGAGGGGCAGAGAGAGAGGGAGACACAGAAUCGGAAACAGGCUCCAGGUUCCGAGCCAUCAGCCCAGAGCCUGACGCGGGGCUCGAACUCACGGACCGCGAGAUCGUGACCUGGCUGAAGUCGGACGCUUAACCGACUGCGCCACCCAGGCGCCCCCAGGGCCUUUUAAUUCAAUGGUCUUUUUUAUUAAUUGUAUAAAUAAAGUUUACUGGUACUUUUUAAAAAUUUUUUAAUUUGAGAGAGACAGAAAGAUAGAGAGAGAGUUCAUGCACGAGUAGGGGAGAGGGGCAGAGAAAGAGACAGAAUCUUAAGCAGGCUCCGUGCUGAGUGGAGGGGGCUUGAUCCCACAACCCUGAGAUCGUGACCUCAGCUGAAAUCAUGAGUCAGAUGCUGAACCGACUGAGCCAUCCAGGUGCCCCAAAGUUUACUGGUACUUCUUAAAAGCUAUUUUGUCUCUGGUGGUGUUUCCUAGUUCUAUUAUAGCACUAUGUGUAUUGUGUUGGGGGUGAUGAAAUAACCUAAAUCUCUAUCAGUACAAGAAUGGUUAAAUUGUGGUGUAUCCAUACUAUGGAUGAUUGUGCAGCUAUUAACAGGACAGGGUUAGAUACAGAACUACCAGCUUGAAAAGGAUGAUGAUCUACAGUUUAGAUGAGCAAAGUCUGAGAGAAACAAGUAUGUAAAUAAAUGGCAGCCAGAUGGGUGUUGGUAAUGCUCAUCCCUUUUAUAACUGUAAACUCCUGGAGAGUGGGGGCAUAUUUUAUUCAUAGUAUGUGGCAUAGAGUAGUAAUGUUGGAUGAAUUAAUAUUUUAAAAAAAAAUUCACAGAGAAGCAUACAAAAGAAAAUCUGAAUAAUUUGGUGAUACAUGGGAUAGGCAAAAGGGGCUGGAAAGCUGACACUCUCCAAGUUAACCUUACUAAGCAUAGUUGUAAGUGGAAUCAUCAGAAAUGACCACGAGAACCACGUAACAAAUGAUCGAUAACCCAGCCCUCUCGCUCACUGAUUUACACAAAGCCUAAUCAACCAAUGUCCUGAAAUAUACAUGAUUUUAAGGAACACAUCAAAAAUAUUUUAUUCUUGGGGCACCUGGGUGGCUCAGUUGGUUAAGCGUCCAACUCUUGAUUUUGGCUCAGGUCAUGACCUCAUGGUUUGUGAGAUUGAGCCCUGCAUCAGCUCUGCACUGGCAGCGUGGGGCCUGCUUAGGAUUCUCCCUCUCCCUCUCUCUGCCCCUCCCCUGCAUCCAUGUGUGUGCUUUCUCUCUCAAAUAAAUAAAAGUUAAAAAAAUAUAUAUUUUAUUCUUGUGGUAACUCAUUUAUUGUAUCAUUCUGUCUCUUGCUUCUGUCUCUGAUGAGGAAAAACUUUGAUAAGGCCAAGCAAACACAAACAAGGUAAUAUAAAAACAAGUAAUUAAUAGGUACUAAAAAAAAAAAAGACUGCUCUGGACUGUUUUCAUAACCAUACUUUGCACUGCUGCUUUACAUACUGGUAUCUAAAUUGUUGGUUUCUCUCUAAACUAAAAAUGAUAAACAAUCUCAUUCUAUUUUUUGGUGACUUUUCUUCUUUGAAAACCCCAAAAAAGUAGUCCUGUAUCCUUAAUAACUUGAAGGUUAUCAGUUUUGCUGAGAUUUUAUUCUUUAUGAUGAAAGCUAGAAGAUGCCUCUUCUAAGAUCCAUCAAAAACAGUUUACCACCAUCAGUGGAUACAUGGGGUGAAGGGGCGGGGAGGAACAAACUGUUCUCUCUUACUUAAAGAAGCCAAACAUGCAAUAAUGGUUUAAAAAGAUACAGGCCAAUUAAUUUAAAUCUCUGGAGACCAUAAUAAACUCAUUCACAAGCCUAUUCAAGAUUAGCGAUCCAAUGUCCCUAACCAAAACGGUUAAACAUGUUUUCCAAGUUUAAAGGUCACACAUGUACACACACACACACACACAGCCUGCAGAGAGAUAUGCCUUCAUUACUUAGGUGGAACUAACUUCCAGUCAAGGUGUAAACUGUAACAGAUACUAAAUAAGAAAGCUCAUUAAAGACAGAGAAAAAGAGAAGUGCAAGGGCCUUCUAUACGCUCUCUGUAUUCUGACACUUGGUGCUGAGAAAAGUGCCUCACUCACUCUAGCUCCUUUCUGACAGCUUAGUUCUUCAACCUAAAACUAAAGCUGGUUUAACCUGCAACAAUCACCUCUAUAACUAACCAUGAAAACUGAACAUUUCUGUCUGGAGACAGAUCCUGGAGCCUGAAUACAAUGUGUAAAGUAAAUGUGACCCACUAGAACUUACAUAUUCCUCUUCAGUCUCCUCCACAAAGAAAGCUUCCCCAUUGUCACCCAAUUUCAUGUGAAGAUCCACUGCAUCGCCAUUGAUUUCUAUAUCAAUCUAAGAAGAGAAAGUAUGAUUUAGUAUUAAAUCUUUCAUUCAUGCUAAACGAAGCCUAAAUUCUGGGUUCUCAAGCCAAACUUAGUAUUGAGGUUCCUGGAGUGAUAGUCUCUGAGAAACACUGCUACCUGCCCCACCAACCUGCCUUAAAAAACCAAACAGAUCUGGGAAGGAAGGGGAUAGGUAACCAGGGAUUGAAAGAAAAUAUUGUAUCAUUUUUAGAACAUAAAAUCUUGUACUUAAUUUCCCAAAUGGCAUAAAAUAAAGAAACGUUAUGGUCAACAAGCAAUUGAGCACUUCCAGAGUUACACCACAGACAGGCCUCAGCUGGCACGCUUCAGACAACCACAAAUUUCAGUUAAUGCAGUAUGUUACCUGUAACUCCAGAGAGCACAGACUUCAUUGCCAGCUCUCUGUCUAUAGAUCACUACAUAAAAACAGAUGCCCAGCAUGACUGGUAACCCAUCGCAUCACUUUUUCAAAAAGUGCACUAGUGACUAGCGCACCAAAUCUAUUAUUACUCAGUUCAGGCACAGACAGCAAAGCUUGUAGUGGUAGUUGUCUUCUUGUUUCCCACUGAUAAACCCAUGUGACAUUUUAUAAAAAUGGAUAAUUAAGAGGAAACUGGCCAAGAUCAAAAUGACACAAACUAAAAGUAACAUUACUGGAAGUAAACUUCAAACUGCAUGUCAACAGUUACAGAAGAAAUAGCUGACUGCGGGAAUGGGGACCCUGCUGCCACCUGAAAGGCUCAACACGUGCAGCCAGAGGCACCUGGUGAAGGCAGGCUCAUCCACACAGAGGAGCAGAGUGGCUAUUACAAAAAGGAUGAAGAUGGCCCAGAGGAAGUGACGUGGGCAAAAAAAGUCCACACUGAAGGAACUCUGACAUACUUCAUGACAUUGAAUGUUUCAGAGCUGAAAACCUGAAAGGUGAUCCAAAUUCAGAAAAGCAUACGAAAAUUUGCCAAGACGAGAGAUGCUUGUUCGGUAUCCUAAGUUUUACAUCAAGAAGGCAAGCACUGUUCAAACCAACUAAUCUUGCUAAGUUAUUUUACAAAGAAGACAUGUUAGUUCUCAAUGUUCCUAAUGUUUUAUUUAUUUUUUUUUAAAAAAAAUUUUUUUUUUUCAACGUUUAUUUAUUUUUGGGACAGAGAGAGACAGAGCAUGAACGGGGGAGGGGCAGAGAGAGAGGGAGACACAGAAUCGGAAACAGCCUCCAGGCUCUGAGCCAUCAGCCCAGAGCCUGACGCGGGGCUCGAACUCACGGACCGCGAGAUCGUGGCCUGGCUGAAGUCGGACGCUUUAACCGACUGCGCCACCCAGGCGCCCCAUCAAUGUUCCUAAUGUUUUAAAUUGCAGUGUACUAAACACCAACUUACUAUUUUUCAUUUUCUUACACAUUUUUAACUGACAAUAGAAAGUUUUUACAAAAAUUUGUAAAAUUCAUGGAAAAAUCCUAAUUUUUCUCAGUUAUUAAGUUUGCUUUGGGUUUUGACUUGCCCAGUCAUUUUUUCUAUGUAUAUAUUUUUUAUGAAUAGAAUUUAUUGUCAAAUUGGCUUACAUAUAACACCCAGUGCUCAUCCCAACAAGUGCCCUCCUCAAUGCUCAUCACACAUUUUCCCUCUGCUCCAACCCCCUUCCACCCUUAGUUUGUUCUCUGUAUUUAAGAGUCUCUUGUGGUUUGCCUCCCUCCCUCUCUGUAACAAUUUUUCCCCUUCCCUUCUCCCAUGGUGUUCUGUUCAGUUUCUCAAGAUCCACAUAUGAGUGAAAACAUAUGAUAUCUGUCCUUCUCUGACUUAUUUCACUCAGCAUAAUACCUUCCAGUUCCAUCCAUGCUGCUGAAAUCUGCCCAGUCAUUUUAAUGAUCUAUACGACCAUGCAAAGUAAGGACUGUUUAUAUAUAAUAUUAAAUACUACUUACCACUUAAAAAUAAUGUAGUCGUUCAUCUGUAGACUGUGAAUAAAUGUUUUUAAACAUCUUAUAAUAAUAAAUGAACACCAACUUUCGAAACUCUUACAGAUAAACUUGUAAACUCCAGUUUUAGACUGGUUCAGGGGACAUAAAAACGAAAGUACAGAAAAAUGUAAUACGUAUAUAAAUAGAGUAGUCCACAAUUUAAGUGUUCUUAACUUUGCAAAACCAUUGGGUUUUUCCCAGUGAGGACCAAUUAAUUAUCCCUUCUGACACUGAGUGCUGGGUCACAUCAGGUCAGUGAAGAUCAUUAACUGAAACAUGUUGUCAAAAUGCUUAUUAUAAAAAUCCUGUUAGUAACAUAACCACACUAAGGGAUAAGGAAUAAAACUAAAUAUUCUAAGACUAAAGACAAAAAGCACUAUAAACAAAUAUUGUAGUAAUUAAAAAAAAUCACAGAGAUGUGGGUAACAAUUCUAAAACUAUUUUAUGUGUAUUUUAGGAUUGAACAAAUAAGUAAACAUAUUGUAGGUAAUAAGAGCCAUGUUUCUCACUGUCAGAAAAAGAAGUUAUAAAUAAGGAGAUGAGAAGGAACCUUCUAGGGAUGGACUGGAAUCAGAGGAAUCAGUGUGAACUCAUAAUUUUUACAGACAAAUGUAGGUACACGUAUUUACAUACAGAAAUUUUCCAGCUCUGCCUGCUGACAGGGCCUAGAGGCAAUGACACCUCAGUAAUGAGCACACCUAGUGACCAGAUGCUUUGUUUCUAGACACGAUUCUCUAAUAAAAGGAACCACUGCUCCUCAGAGAAACAAAAUAAUUACAUUCCAGGGCUGAGGCAGGUAAAGUAGAUUCUUGUCAAAUAGCUCAUGGUGCCAAAAAGUAAGGAAGUGCUCAAAAAAUGAUGGGAACAUAUCAAAAGGACUCAACCUGAAGGAGCUACCUACUAAUUGCCAAACCUGGGACAAUUUGAGCAACUACAUAAUGAUAAUAAUGGAUUAUAACCCAAAGAGUAAAAUUAAUAUUCAGAAGUCCAUACUGAUCUGAAUAAAUAAUUGAAUAAGUAAACAGAAGGACAGCUCUUUGAUACAGUAGAAUUUCAGUUAAUAAAUGGAGUAGAAAGGAUGGAAAACAGAAAAUCAUUUGGCAAACACCACAGUAAUAACUACUGCAAGCAAAAUUCAUCAAUGUAUGCUAAAAUCCAUGGGUGGAAGUAUGAUGAAAACCGGUAUAUUUGCACAAUCUCCAAGUUUCUUCCCACAAAUAAAUUUUUAGACAAGGAACCUAGUAGACACCACUAACCAAGGGAUCAAAGUUAACAUCACCAAUAAUGAGAUACGGCACCAUGAUGGGCUUCCUAAGAUGAUAUACUGAGAAGGGCACACUAUCACUCUGUGUUAUUCUUCCCCAAAUGAGAAAACAUCAGACAAACUCAAACUGAGGGACAAUGUACAUAAUAACCAUUCUGUCCUCCUCAAAAGUCAAGGUUGUAAGGAAAGACAGAAUGGUUACAGAAUAUAGAAUGAAAGUAAUGUGGGAUCCUGGAUAGGAUCAUAGACAAAAAGACCAUAGUGAAUCUGAAUAAGGUCUUUAGUUAAUAAUAUUAUACCAAUGUUAACUGCCUAGUUCUGAUAAAUUGUACCACGGUCAUGUGAAAUGUCAACAGUAGGGGAAGAAGUGGGUGACAGAUACAGAAACUAUUUAAAAUACAUUUGCAACUUGUUAAACAUCUAAAAUAUAGGAGUUAAAAAUAUGCUAAUGUCAUUAAAAAACUGACUCAGAACAGUCACAGACUGGAAGAGACUGUGAGGACAGCUAAGUGUUCCAUGUCAUGACUACAGUGAUGCUUUCAUGAGUGCACCUAUGGUAAAAGUUUUAAAAUUAUAUCCUUUGAAUAUGUGUUACUGUGUUAAUUACAAAAUGAAAAAAGCUCUUAAAAAAGGAAAAAAAAAUUAUAACAGAAAAUGAGAAAAAUAGGCAACUAUUAAAUACAAAAUAACAAAAUCCUAUGCAAAAGAAAAUUCCUGUUUAAGAUGUGUUAACAAAAUUAUUAUUUUGUAAGAAACUCAUUUUUCUUUCACUUUUUAAAUUUUUUUAAAAUCUUUUUUUAUUUUUGAGAGAGAGAGAGACACAGCGCAAGCAGGGGGGAACAGAGAGGGAGGGAGACACAGAAUCUGAAGCAGGCUUCAGGUUCUGAGCUGUCAGCACAGAGCCUUAUGCAGGGCUCGAACUCACCAACAGUGAGAUCAUGACCUGAGCUGAAGUCAGACACCCAACCGACUGAGCCACCCAGGCACUCCGCCCCUCUUUUACUUCUUAAAAGAAAAGGGUGCAUAAAAUAAGUUUCCACAGGACAAACAUUAAUUCAUUUCUCAACUAAGUUCUUCAUGUUUUAGAUUACUGUGAAUAUUUAUGGCUUAAAUAAAGCUGGGUAUGACAUGGAAUCUAACGCUUCCAAAACCAAGUAGUGCAACAAAUUCCUGGGCUAAAAAAAUAUUAUUUUCAGGUUAAGUUUAAAAUGUGUUUCAUAAUAAACUGGUUGAAGUCACAUAAGCAUCUAGAAUCAUCUAUUUCCGAAGCAGCUCUAAUAGCAGCAGCUUCUACAGAGGAAAAAUGUUUUCUAAGUUCUAUGAGGGCUGAUGAAGUAAAGAAAUAGAUAUAUUUUCCUAGACUGUAAGAGCAAGGGGACUGGGAAAACUAAAUCUGCUCCAUAAUGCCAAGUUUUAGGUUCCUCAGGAUGACUUAAAUACUUAAUUGCAUUUUUUCAACUAGAAGUUGGACAUAAAAAUAAUUGAAAUCAUCAUUUGUUUAUUGAUUUGUGGUUGUAUAAAUUCUUUAAGUUAAAUUACACACAAAUUAAAUAUUAAAGUUAUUUUACCUUUCAUAAAAAAACAACAGAUUCAAACUAGUAUCCUUCAAAUUUUCAUCUUUGUAGGUUAUCCAUUUAUCCUAGGGAGCUGGGAAAAUAGAACAAUGCCUCUUUCAGAAUGCAGUCUGGUUUUAAACCAUCUUAAAAAAAUUCACCCUUCAUUUAUAGCCUGUCUAACUUUAGUGAUCAAAUAUGACAUUUUCCAAUAUGACUAGUCUCUUAUUCUGCCUCUAAAUGGAGUUUGGGUACCCCCAAAUUAAAUCUAACAUCAAAUUGCGGCAAUACUAAGGGUACUAAAAGAAUAUGCCAGAAGCUCUUUAAGUAACAAAGCAAAAAUAUUAAGAAAUAUUUUGAGAGAUGGCACCAAAUUGGAAUAAAUGCUUCCCAAGGUGAUUAUUUUUUUUUUAAUUUUUUUUUAAUUUUUUUUUUUUUAUCAAGGUGAUUAUUUUAAAGAGGGUACUCAUUUUGAUGUACUACUCCUUAUAAACUGGUAUCUAAAACAAUAUUCCUAUCUACAUAGUCUUACUUCCUACACUGUGGCUUAAUCUUGCUCAAUAUAUAUGACUGAGAUGUUGAAAUAGAACUGAUUUACUUUUUAGAAAUACCUGCUAUAGCAGACACUUGUUUUGGCAUACCACUCUUCAGGUAAGAGUAUCAGUGGUGUCCUCUGGAGAUCUCCUCAUCCUCUAUUUCAGACAGUUUCAGGCAUGGCUUCAUGGGGCUGCUGUCCAAGCCAAGCCAAUCAGUACAUUCCACCCCAGCUAUAGUGACUGGUCUGCAAGGUACAUGUGACUCAAGUCUGACAGGGAGAUUAAACACUGAUACUUCUGUGGGAAGAAGCAGGUCUCUUUCCCCUAGGGUUGCUGAGUUCAUGGGAAAUAAGCCAGGAGGUAGUGGCCAUCUUGCAUUAGAGAGAGCAUACACAAAAGGAGGCAGAGCUGAGAGGUGGGCAGAGAAAGGGUUCUGGUUAACACCCUCAAAGACCUGAUUAAUUCAAAUGCUCCUGGACAUUAGUUAUGCAAGCCAAUAAAUUCCCUUUUUUUGCUUAAGCUAGUGCGAGGUGGAUUUUUGUCACCCACAAUGGAAACUUCCUGUCUAAUACACUGGAUUAUUUAACUUUGAUAAGUAAUCAAAUCAUUAGUUUUGCGUUAAAUCAACAAAAUUAGUAUUUUAAAAACAGCAACUGCAGGUUUACCUUCUGAAAUUCAACUCGGGUUAUGAAAUAUACUGGGAGUAGUGGUGUUCUAUCAAACAAAAACAUACCAGUGACAGUGGGAAAAUUAUUAUACGGUAUCUCCCUAACCAGAAGCUUUAAGAUGAUUAUGAUUUCCAGUCCAGGUGCCACCAUUAUAGGUGUCACCAUAAUUGGGGUCUUAGUGUAAAAUCAGUGAGUAGCUUUCCCUAGUCCAAACUGACCUAAAAUAAGACAGUUAAUCCAAACUGCCUGAGUAUCUCAAGGCAGACAUGGUUCUGGUUUUACUGUCGCAGGAAAGCUGUGUUUCAGUCAAAGAGCCAAAUUUCUGCUCAAACACAUCCUUUGAGCUCCUAGGGGUACUAGCGCAAAAGAAAUUUUCCCUUUUCCUGUGUCUCAUGGACAGACUAUUAAAAUCCAAGGGUUUGACAAGAUACAGAAUACAGUCAUUUGGGUAGCCUGGUACUGAACUUUUACUUUCUUAAUUAGAGGCACACAGCAUGUAGAAAGAGGUAUGUUGUCUGUCCGGUCACCAUUUAUAGAUACACAAAUGCUUACAUAUAACAUCAGCCUGCAGAUUCCAUUCUGAAAGGCCAAAAGACUUAACCAAUCUACUGAUCAAAAUCCAGAUCACAGAAAAACAAACAAAAGUGCCAUAUAAGCCAUUUCCUGAAUAGAUCCUUGCACAACUAAUGGGAAAUUUCAGCGCAUAAACAAUUUUGUACAGAUUCUCCCAAAGCAGAUAAAAACUGAAAGUACUAUACGUUAGUGUUACUGGCUAGAAAUAAAAAAUUCCAAGAAGCUAAACUGUGGCUAAACACUGUUUUGCAAGGGAAAGUUUCCAAGUUACUAAGUGAAUUGCGACUGCUUUUGGUUUCCAAAGGGUGUCUCUGAACAGAGGCCGACCAUACAAACCCUGCCAUCCUACAAGGUGGUUCUCCAGUGAAAUACUGAUUUAUAACACCUCGGAAAAAAGAUGUGUGUUUUGAGGGCGGGGGGGGGGGGGCAAGUGGGGAGAAUAUAUAGUUGUGUGCAACCCAUAAGCCUUUUCUUCCAUCCCCCAAAAAACUUAAGUUUAAUUAAAACACAAAUUUCUAUUUUAUAGAAUAAGAUUAGCUAUGCAAAACAGCCAAAAUCUGAAAAUAGAUGAUUCGAAUUAUGCCAGUGGUCCUCUAACAUCUAGUUCUGUGACCCAAAAUGGUGUAGAUCUUUCAUUGUGCUUUAUAAUCCUGACAAAAUCUCCCUCCAUUGUUUAGGUAAAUAAUGUGGGGUAAGAGCAGAAGGGUAAAAAAAUACUACCAUGUACCUGCAAAGUUUUAUUACUAGCUCAAUUUUCUAACUUGAUUGACAUCAAAUAUACUAACAUGUCUUACCAUUGUUCCAAUAUUUGAAGGAGAGAGGAUGUAAGAAAAAGGAAAAUACAAAUUAUCUUCUUUCUAAAUGAACCUUCCCUGAAAUAAAACUAAACGCCAACAAGCCCAUGAUGUGAGUUUGCAUUUAGUAAGAUCUGGAGACAAGUCCUGGUAUCACUAACAAAAUUUAAAUACAAAUAAGAUUCAACAGCUUUCUCAAAACAAGGAAAACUGGCAUUAAUUUUACUUAAACAAAUGUAAUGUAUUCUUGAUUACCUCAGUCUAUUCCAUUCAUAAAUGGUAUGAAGCCACUGCUCUAAAUAUUUUAAAGUAGUAUAUAAGGUAAAGAAACUUUUUCUAAAUAUACCUAACAUUCUCCAUUUACAACUCCAGUUUCUCUAUUUUGCUCCUCUGAGCUGCAACAAAUGGGAUUAUCAAGAUAAUUUUCAGCUUUUUUUCCCCCUUGGAGAGACUUUCUAUGCUUAUGAAUUCAGCAGCAACUUCAAAAUAAAACAUAAAGGCUGACUUCUCAUAUGAUUAUCUUCAACAUUAUACAGGUUUUCCUUAAAAAAAAAAAAAAAAAAGAGCCAGAGAGAGUACACAGGAACAACUUAUUCUGUUCCCAUCUAACCUUUCACCCUCCUUGAGAACAAGCUGUCUCCUGUACUCACCACUUUCUCUUUGGAUCUCAGGACUCCCAGCUUCCCAAAUCGAACGUGAAAAGGCGAACACUGAUAGGUGCCAUCCUGCUGUCGCACCACAAUGACAUCGAUGCAGCC
rnacentral:lncRNA from 1 species